CUUUUCCCAUAGUUCCCACAGGCAGCCAGGAGCCCAAAGGCACAUUUGUAUGAGCUACGGCUGCCGUUUGCUCCAGCUGCGUGAGCACCGCUGGUGUCCAUCCAUGCCGCCUCACUGACAUCGCUUGCAACCCCUUCUGAGACCAGGUGGAGGCCAACUGAGUAAACUCCUUCGUUGGGCUGUCCCGUGGGGCACAGCCCGUGUCCCGUGGCCCCACAGCCAUCCCGUGGGGCAGCCACUAUUACUCCCACCUGACAGAUGCGGGCGUGAGUCCGUGGGGACUGAGCACUUCUCUCUUUAUACAUGGUACUGUGACUUGGCACCUCCCAGCCCCUCAGGUCUCCCCUGCUGCCCACACCUGUCACCACUGCCGAGGCCACCCACUGACCCAGCCCCUUGGAGGUGCCAGCCCCACAAGGGCCCUGGGUGGCACGGAUGCCUGCAGCCUGGAGGUGCAGGAACCCGCCUCAGCACCAUGCUUUCCCCUGUAUUUGAGUUUGCUCCACUGGAAAUGUGGGUCUCUGUCCUGCUCUGUUCGCACUGUACGUGAGGCCCUGGGCAGCGCUUGGUGCCCUCUGGGCCCCGGUCUCCUCUUCUGUGCUCCGAAGGGGUGAGUCAUCUCUCAGGGCUUUUCUAACCCCACGGUGUCUGGAUUCUACGAUCCCCUGUCCCCAUCUCACCCCUCAGCCUGGCUUGAAAGGUGGAUGGUGGAGAAACAGAGGUGGAUUCCAGGGGCUACUUUGACGAGUAGAAACAUAAUUCAUGGAGGACAUUUGGGCAGAAUGAAGGAUGUGGCCAUGUCUCCUCCCUGCCUCCUCUGGAGUUGGUGUCCAGGGCCUCUGAGAGACUUGGUCCGGCCUCCUCACCCAGCAAGGCCCCCGCCAGGCUGCCUCUUGCCUCACAUAUGACCCUCUGUGUGGGGUACCCCCCAGCAGCACUGAAGUGCUGACACUUCAGGCCCAGAGCUCUGGCAGUAGCUGUGGGAGUCAGAGGCAGGAAGAACCUGCUGCCCCAGAGUAGAGAGACCUAGGCCCCCACCAGUGUCACUGGUCCUAGGUGCUGAGACCCUAGCUGGGCAGUCACCCCCAGACCCUUCUCCUGAACUCCAGAGCUAGAGCGAGAAGGAAGGGCUCCUCAGUUCUGGUGGCGGCCAGAGACCUCACUGUCCCUCUGGAAGAUCCUGGGUGGGCUCUGGUCGGACUGGUCCCCAGCAGAGUCACACUCAGGUGCCUGGCUAGGGAGGAGAGGUCAGGAGGGAUGAGGAGGCUCACCCUCCCCCAGUCUGGGGCCCCACUCAGCUGCUGAAAGGUGGGAAAGGAGAAUCUGGCAGGGGGCGCCUCCUGAGCAGGGAUCAUGCAAACGAGGCAGGGGAAAGGAGCCCAGCAUUAAAUGUCAGGAAGAGCCCAGGGCAAAUCGGCUUGUGCAAAGUUUGCUUUGGGAAGAGUGGUUCUACCUGACAGGCUGCUGGCUAGGCUGGGGUGCAGGGUGGGGUGAAGAAAGGGAGGGGGUGGGGCUGGGGCAGGGUCCCAGACUAGGUUUGAGCCCCAGCCCCUGGCCGUCUAGCUCUGGGACUGGUGUAAGUCACUUGGCUUCCUCAGAGACUCAGUGAUCCUGUCUGUUAAAUGGGCUGUCAAGAGCAUGCUUUAAGGAGCUAUAAAGAUUGAGGGCAUGAAGGUGGAUGAAAGUUCCGUGUGAACUGAGAUGGGCUUAACAUUCAGGAAGGUGGCACCUGGGAGCAGAUGAGGGGAUGGGGUAGGAAGAGGAGAGGGAAUGGCAAUGGGGUGAAGAAUGAGGGUAACAAAGGAAGAAGUAGGGGGUGAUGGUCGGUGGAGCCUGGGGAGGAGUUGAGGUUGGCAACGAGGGAGGCCUGGGCCUUACCUGAGGUCAUCCUGCCCUCUAGGUCAGUCUUGGGCAGCUACUGGCCUCACUCACCCCUCUCUGGCCUCUAGGAGGAGCCAGAGCCAAAGCCAGAGCCGCCCGCCUCUCCAGACCUGAGCCUAGGGGUCAAGGCUGGGAAAGCACACAUCUUCGAGCUCUGGCAAAUCCAGCCAGCUAGCCAGCCUCCACCAACUCCUAUACAGCCUGCAAAACCCAGCUCCAGAUGAUCCCUUCCAAGAAAGCCUCCUUUUACGGAGGAGACCACCUUGUCUAACCUUCUCAUUACACAGACAAGGGCUACAGGGAGGAAGAGUGACUUGGCCAAGGUCACACACCAUGGGCCUUAAGCCCAUCCCUUCUUGCCCUCCACCCAGAGCAUCUUUGUCUGCAGGUCAAUCUGAAACGACUUUGCAGAUUACACUCAAGCCUCACCAAGUCGCCUGAGGAAAAAAUGGGGCUCUGACUGUUUCAGGGCUAUUAGCUUUACACCUGCACUGACCUCAGUGGUAAAAAGUGGGUUCUCCUGGUUUUCCUGCUUAUUGCCAACAUCGCAAUUUUAGAUCGCCAACUGAGCGAACACCCUGUUCCCUCAAGCUUGGUGGACAGAGAGGCCCUGUCUCAUUCAGGGGGUCCUUGUGAAAAUCGAAUGGCAUCUCAUUUAUAUCUCAUUUUAUAAGUGGCAUUUUAUCACAGGUUGACUCACAGUAAGCAGGUCUAAGAGGGACUGAGUUUUGGUCUCUGGGGCCCCCCAUAGUGCCUGGGGCAGAGGAAAUUAUUGUCAUUUCUCAAAGGAGAGGGUGGCUCCCCAUCCUGAGAGACCAUCUCUGCUACACCUCAACCUUUCCAGGGGUCCCGAGUCUGUAAGUUUGGGGUAAUGAGCCCCCACGCUGGGAGUCCUCGGCUCUAGCCCCACCCCCAGUUGGGCUAGGGCUUGGCACAGGUCCACACAUAUGCUGGGGAGUCUCCUGCCCAUCCCAUCUGCCACCUCAGGCCCCAGGGCAGCCUGAUGCCUGUUUGUUUUGUUACUCAGUGGAGCAGCUGGUGCUGGGGAGAUGCAGCUUUAUUGGGGAUUCCUGUGAAGCUGUUUAUUGGGGUGGUGGGGGCAGGAAAUGAGGCCUCGUCCCAGCCUUGGCCAAGGAAAGGGAGAAAGGCCAUACUGUCAUACAGGGGACAGGCCUGUGGCCUGGCUCUGGGCCUGCCCACUCCCCAACACACACACACAGAUGCCCGUGCACCUGCAAGCACAUACCCAUACACACACACACAGGAAUGCACAUACAUACAUACCCCUUGUCCAGCUUCAGGGGGACCCCCCAACAUCCAGACCGUUCAGCUCUCUAUCCCAUCAUUACCACUGUCACUUCCCUCUCUCCACAGAAGGCAUCUGGCAAAUCUUAGGGGGGUCUUCAGGGACAUCCCAUUUCCCUGCUAGUGCACUCAGACUGGGGCCCACAGGCCAUUUGCUUCCCUGGGUCCCUGAACCCCCAGCGGUUAGCUCUGCAGCUCCCCAGACCACCUGGGUCCUGCACCCACCACUGCCGCAGCCCAAGCCCUGGCCCUGGGCCUGUCCCCACUGCUCCCAGCCUGAGCUUGGCCCCGAGCCUCCAGCCCUCAGCAAGCCCCUGGACACAGUGGCCUGGCCCCAGGCAGACCCUUCCCUUGGCAGAGCAGCUGCAGCUGGCAGAGCAAAAAGGUCGCCUGUGUUUUACUAGCCAAGCAGAACUGGCCGUGUCUUAGGGGCCGAGGCUCUGCACCUGCAGAGCCGCCUCCCUCAGGCUGCACAGCCCGGGCUCAAGGUGUGGCCUUGGGGGCUCAUGCAGGCUCUGGGGUCCACCCAGGGAGGCAGAUGGGUGGCAGGGGCAGGGGCUUCUGAGGGUGAAGGACCCAGAGCAGAGGGCCAGCAAUGCCUGGGAGGCCAGUUCUGAGCUCACAGACCAUGCCUCCAAGUCCUGCUCUCCCGUCACCCACCUCCCCACAGCUGCGAGGAGGACACCCCCGCAAGGCACUCAGUGUUCCCACCAGACUCACCCGUUAGCUGCCUCGUGCCAGGGAGUCGUCCACCGCAGCGCCAACCUUGGGGGAGGCCAGGAGAAGGCGGAGGCAGCGUGGGCCACUGCUGGGGUUCAGCCAGGCAUCUGGGGGACCAGUGGGACAGGAGGCCAGCAGGGCUGGGGGCAGAGGUGGUGCUCGGGUGGGCCGCUGGGGACCUGGCCACCCUCAAGGGGUGGCCCUCUGAGAUCCCGGGGCCUUGUGCCCUGCAGGGAGCCCUCUGCCCCCAGCCCCAGGGCCACCUGUUGGCACGGUGGCAGGACCUACUGAAGGGGCUUACAUGGAGGCUGUGGUGGGCUCAGGGCAGUGUGGACACGGGCAGAGUGCAGGAAUGUGCUGGGAGGAAGUCAAGCAGCCGUGAGAUGAAGAGUUGGCCAGGCCUGAUUUCCCAUUAUAAGUAAUCCUUCCUUAUUUACCUGAACAAAUACGCUCCCUGCUUACCUCAGACCACAGGCGGGCUCCUAGUUAACCCUUGCAGGCCUCCUUCUCCUCAAAGGGGGAGCCACACUCUCGCCGCUAGACAACCCACUCACUCAUUCACUCAUUAAUUCACUUACACACUCAUGUUCAUUAGUUGAUGCAUAGUUACUGAGCUUAUCUAGUAUGUGCAAGGCACAGGGGGUACAUCUAGAGGGACGUGGGGUAGGGCCCUGAUAGGGAACAGCCAAGAUUGGGGAACAGCCAAGCAAGCUCUGUGGAAAGUCAGAGCCACCCAUGCCUCCUCUCCAACGGAGGUCUGUGGAAGCACCCAGCAAGGCAAGUCAGAGAGGACUUCCUGGAGGAGGUGCCAUCUGGCUCUCCAGGCCUGGGAUGGAGGGAACUUCAGAGAACCCUGUGGAAAAGGACCAGAAGCUCGUGAGCCCACUCACUGCGUGUGGGGCCAGUGUUGUCCGUGUCCCCCCGGGCCUGGUGCAGGUCUAGCGUGCAGUGGUGCUCAGGAACGAUUGGAAGCUCACUGAGCCGGGGGUGGGGGUGACAGGCAGCAGCAGCUUGCUCCCCAACAGCCUCUGAAGGAUGCAGGUGAGGAGGUACCCAUGCUUGGCCCCUCCACCUCCAUGAGUCCCAGGAGGACCGCAGAGCCGAGCUCUCCACUUCCUCCCCAUCCUGCCAGGAACCAUGUGGCUGCUCACAGUGAGAGUAUUCUGGGGCUGCAGGAAGAUUCCAAGGCCCUCGGCACUGGCCCUCUCACCGUAACGGAGGCCCCAAUUCUCCAGCAUCUGCUUGGACCCCUCAUCCUGGAGAGCCCUGUGCUUGGCUGUUAUGGUCGCCGGCAACUUGGUGAAGAAAAUGAGGCUGGAAUGUGAGAAAUGUCUUGCCCAAGGUCAUGCUGAGAAGCAGACUCAAACUCAAAUCUGGAGUUUCCUUGAUUGUGCUGUGCCUGGUAGGACCCUGUUACUAUCCCUUGUCCCCUCAGGGUCAAGUCUCAGGUCCCGGGCAUGAGUCACUGGGUCCACUGGGCCAUGGCCCUCCCCCCUCUGGCUGGUGUCCUCCUCAACUCUCCUCUGGCCAGUUCCCAUCAGGUGAAACGUACCUCCUUCAUCCACAUACCACCCACCUGUUGUGGGCACCCUCCAGACCUGAGGCCUGAUGCCACUUCUUGGGGUUCUUCUCCAACUCACUGAGAUAGUGUAUUCUCUCUUGCCACUGGGAGCUCUGAGCCCCAGCCCCAGGGACAGUAUGCUGUGACAGCCCCAGGACAAGACCCCAGUAGGAGCCUCUGCUGAGUCAACACCCGGAUGAACCAGUAACAUCCUUUGUCUGUUGCUCAAAUGGAUUUACGUUGAGUUUCUUCUACUUGGGAUUACUCCUCAUGCUUCAAGCCCCAUCUCAAGAGCUGGCACCUCCAGAAGGUUUUCUCGUGUUCCCUCCAGCCCUUGCAGACUCCCCAUUUCCCAUUUCCCUGUACUCUAAUGUCUCCCAGUGGUUCUUUUCUCCCUAAGAUUCUCACCUGUCCAGGGCAGGGGCCCCUGAGCUGUGGCAGCACAGGAGCCUGCACACAGAUUAUGGGUCCUGGUGCCAACAGCCUGAGCCCUCUCCCGGGGUGCUCCUGCCACCACUCACCCAUCACCCAUCUGAGAGUGAGAGCACCUAGUGGGGGCAGGGCCCAUUUACUAGCAGGGUGACGGGAAGCCGGCUCAGGCCCCUCUGGGCCUCGCUUACCUCCUCUGUUGUGUGGAGAUCGUACUUGCCCUGCUGACCUUGUGAAUAGAGCACCGAGAUGUGUGAGUGGCCGCUGACAUUGGCGGCUGGAAGUACUGUGGAAAGGGCAGUCAGUGUUGGUGGGUCGGUUGGUCAGAACGUCCCCUUCCUAGCUUUCUUCCCCCAUCCUCCCACCUGGGUCCUCCUAGGAACUGCAGCCUUGGGGUGACGGCAGGGUCAAGGCUGGGCCUCAUGCCAGCCAGAGAGAUGGGGCUGUCCCUCCCAGUUGACACAAGGCCCUGAGAAGGAGGGAAGACUGCCCUGAUGAGGUGUAGAGAGCCUGGGGCUGGUCCCUCAGAUGGGACCGCAGGGGCUGAUGGGCAGGAAGCCUGGCCUGCCACCCGCCAGAGACCAUGCAGUUUUCGUGGCACAGUGGGAGACUCUGAGACCAGCGACGCUGGGGCGCAGACCCAAGGACACACAAAAGG